CAAGGCGUAGCUAUAAUUCAAAGCACUCAGCUUACACCUGAAAGAUGUCCACCACCUGGACCACCUUGA
rnacentral:tRNA from 1 species